UGGGGAAUAUUGGACAAUGGGCGCAAGCCUGAUCCAGCAAUGCCGCGUGGAUGAAGAAGGUCUUCGGAUUGUAAAGUCCUUUCGGCGGGGACGAUGAUGACGGUACCCGCAGAAGAAGCCCCGGCUAACUUCGUGCCAGCAGCCGCGGUAAUACGAAGGGGGCUAGCGUUACUCGGAAUGACUGGGCGUGAAGGGCGCGUAGGCGGUUUGGACAGUUAGGCGUGAAAUUCCUGGGAUCAACCUGGGGGCUGCGCUUAAUACAUCCAGACUUGAGUGUGGAAGAGGGGCGUAGAAUUCCCAGUGUAGAGGUGAAAUUCGUAGAUAUUGGGAAGAACACCGGUGGCGAAGGCGGCGACCUGGUCCAUUACUGACGCUGAGGCGCGAAAGCGUGGGGAGCAAAC
rnacentral:rRNA from 1 species